rnacentral:rRNA from 1 species
CGCGGCCUAUCAGCUUGUUGGUGAGGUAACGGCUCACCAAGGCUUACGGGUAGCCGGACUGAGAGGUUGACCGGCAACACUGGGACUGAGACACUGCCCAGACUCCUACGGGAGGCUGCAGUCGAGAAUCUUUUACAAUGGGCGAAAGCCUGAUAAUGCGACGCCGCGUGCGGGAUGAAGGCCUUCGGGUUGUAAACCGCUGUCGGGGGUUAGGAAAUGCGGGCAUGUAAAUAGCAUAUCCGCUUGACCGGCCUCAGAGGAAGCCAUGGCUAACUCCGUGCCAGCAGCCGCGGUAGUACGGAGAUGGCAAGCGUUGUUCGGAAUCACUGGGCAUAAAGGGCACGUAGGCGGGUUCGUAAGUCAGAUGUGAAAUCCCUCGGCUUAACCGGGGAACUGCGUUUGAUACUGCGGUCCUUGAGUACAGGAGGGGAGAGUGGAAUUCCUGGUGGAGCGGUGAAAUGCGUAGAUAUCAGGAAGAACGCCGGAGGCGAAAGCGACUCUCUGGCCUGUUACUGACGCUGAGGUGCGAAAGCCAAGGGAGCGAACAGGAUUAGAUACCCUGGUAGUCUUGGCUGUAAACGAUGGGCACUAAGUGGAGGAAACUCUGAUGUUUUCUCUGCUGAAGCUAACGUGAUAAGUGCCCCGCCUGGGGAGUACGG